GAGCUCAUUACAGCAGCUCAUAUACUAAUAUUGGAACGGUAUAGAAAAAGAUUAGCAUGGCCCUGCACAGGCUUGACAUACAAACUCAUGAAGCAUUAUGUGGUGUG